UACAGAGGUCUCAAGCGUUGUUCGGAUUCAUUGGGCGUAAAGGGUGCGUAGGCGGCGGGGUAAGUCAGGUGUGAAAUCUCGGAGCUCAACUCCGAAACUGCACUUGAUACUGCCUUGCUCGAGUACUGGAGAGGAGAUUGGAAUUUACGGUGUAGCAGUGAAAUGCGUAGAUAUCGUAAGGAAGACCAGUGGCGAAGGCGAAUCUCUGGACAGUUACUGACACUGAGGCGCGAAGGCCAGGGGAGCAAACAGG
rnacentral:rRNA from 1 species